rnacentral:rRNA from 2 species
UUAGAUACCCUGGUAGUCCACGCUGUAAACGAUGGAUACUAGGUGUGGGGGGACUGACCCCUUCCGUGCCGCAGUUAACACAAUAAGUAUCCCACCUGGGGAGUACGAUCGCAAGGUUGAAACUCAAAGGAAUUGACGGGGGCCCGCACAAGCGGUGGAGUAUGUGGUUUAAUUCGAAGCAACGCGAAGAACCUUACCAGGGCUUGACAUCCCACGGCUGGAAUUAGAGAUAGUUCUUUCUCUUCGGAGACUGUGGUGACAGGUGGUGCAUGGUUGUCGUCAGCUCGUGUCGUGAGAUGUUGGGUUAAGUCCCGCAACGAGCGCAACCCCUAUUGUUAGUUGCUACGCAAGAGCACUCUAGCGAGACUGCCGUUGACAAAACGGAGGAAGGUGGGGACGACGUCAAAUCAUCAUGCCCCUUAUGUCCUGGGCUACACACGUACUACAAUGGCGGUAAACAGAGG